rnacentral:rRNA from 1 species
CAGUAGCCGCGGUAAUACAGAGGGUGCAAGCGUUAAUCGGAAUUACUGGGCGUAAAGCGCGCGUAGGUGGUUUGUUAAGUUGGAUGUGAAAUCCCCGGGCUCAACCUUGGAACUGCAUCCAAAACUGGCAAGCUAGAGUAUGGUAGAGGGUGGUGGAAUUUCCUGUGUAGCGGUGAAAUGCGUAGAUAUAGGAAGGAACACCAGUGGCGAAGGCGACCACCUGGACUGAUACUGACACUGAGGUGCGAAAGCGUGGGGAGCAAACAGGAUUAGAUACCCCCGUAGUCCCUGUCUCUUAUAC